CUGAAUAUGAUGCUCAAGUGACACAGGCAUUGACUACAAGUUGGACAAAAUGGCCUUUUAGUUUAUGCCAGGCCUGAGACUCUGAGUUUAUAAUUCUCCGGCUGGGGGGAAGUAAACUUUACUCACCAAUGCCUGUGCUGAUCAGAUAACCUCAAAGCCCAGACACACUGCAUAAUUCUCCGACAGCAAUAACUCAGCUGGCAGUUCCCAGGCAGAGAUGUGGGAGAAAGUCCAAUAUCCGGGAAGCGCUAGGAUCUACAACUUCCUGUGGUCUGCCUAGUGAAAUUUGACCAGAUAAGAACAGUUAAUAAGAAGCUCUUGAGAUAGAAAAGCUCCUUUUAUUUCUGAAUGCGGGUAUAUUGAUGUUAAAUACCUGAAUGGAUGAGGUUAAUUUGAAUAAUCUUCUAUUGUUGCAAGAAAUAUGGAAAAGUAUUCAGGAAAACUAGAAAAAUUCUUCAUACUUGUGGCAUGAACUGAAAGAAGUCUUUCACUGUUUUGACAAAUGAUGACUCCACUGUUUUGUGUGAGGGUAGAAGCUUUUAAGGACUGGACCCCAAGGCACCCCAUUGUGGUGCUUAGGAAAAGAUCAAGCCUCAUAUUCUGGACCUUCCUUCUAUAACACUUUGCAAGUCAUGCCAGAUUCCCAUCAAGGCUGAACAAUUUGCCUUGAGGCCCCCAAAUAUUUCCAAAUGUAGUUAAUGGCUUCAAAAAGAAAACAAGCAUUGCAAUGAAAGCACUUAAUGUCUAUAAAUUCAAUUGCCAAGAAGUUCUUCUCUUUUGAAUACUCAAAGGACAGGAUCCCUGGGCAAUGACUUAUUGUUUCCCUUGCCUGCACUGCAAUGAUUACAGAGACUGUCCAGGUAAAUAUUGUGAUAACUAGAUUCUGCUAGUGAUCUCUCCCUUCUUUAUUUUCUUGAAACAAUUUUAUAACUGUGAUCAUAUUCCCCCUUUUCUCCUGUCAUCAUGUGGGGAUAAGCUUACUAUAAAAUGUCAGAAGCUGCAUUCAUGGCUCAAAAUCCCUUGGUAAACAAAACCGAGCUAUGGGCCUGAUAAAGAUUUAGCAAGAAAGCAGCAUAGCUUAGUAUUUGACUGAGAGGUCUGUUGUCAGGCGGAUCCUGAAUUAAAUCCCCACAUCUGCCACUUACUAAUUGUGUCACUUCUGUGCAUCUCGGUUUCUUCAUCUGGAAAAUGGAUAUGAUAAUAGUCAUACUUAUCUCAUAGGAUUGCUUUAGGGGUAAAAUAAAACAAAGCACAGCCGUGCCUGAUUAAAAUAUUCAGUAAAUGGUAACUACUGUUAUUAUUGAGAAGCAGAUUUCCUCAUCAAGUUCUUAAGAUGAGAGGAUGUCGUGGAAGUGGUAACUGAGAAGUAUACCAUCAAUUAUCCUGUUGAGUUGGCAUAAUCUAAGAUUAGAGGUAUUUGUGGAGAGCUGCAACUGUAGUCCUUUAGGGCCUCUGCAAUGCCUGGGACUACAGCAAUAUUAGAGGAUGCUUGGACAGUAGCGAUUUUGAACACCUAAAUCCUUGGCCACUUGAGCAAAGUAGGUAAAGGAUAGGGGUAGCCUUUAGUUACAUUACAAGACAGGAUAAACACAGGGGUAUAAUAUCUUGUGCCUGUCUUACUGUUUUACUUCUCCAGCAAAAGGCUGACAGCUCACUAUUUGGCUUUUGCAUCGAAUAUCAUAAACCCAAUAAGGUGGUAGAAAUGCCUUUAUAAUUCUUGCUUUGGGGGAUAUGGCUUGGGUAAGGUGGAGAGCAAAGGUGAGGCAUUCUGUGAAGAACUCCCAUUCUCUUAGGAGUUUGAAACACAUCAGAGUUCUGCACCUGAAGAGAGAAGGGAAGCUGGAAGACACAGUGGAUUGGCUUUUCAUACAUCUGGGAUUGGACUGAAGUGGGAGUGGACUGAUUGGACUGAAGUGCUAAGAGUAUGGAAUUGUUCAUUUUUGUUGUUAGAGUAUCAGUUGCCUAGAAUAAAGGUAUUUGUUGACACAGUGAGGUCUAGGUCUUAAGGCACAUACAUGAACUUGACACAAAACUUUGGGGAAUCCAUUUGCCUCUGCCUCUAUGAGACUUAAGUUUUCUUUUCUUUGUCUUUUUUGAAAAUCAGUGGAAUUUACAUAUAGUGAAAUACACAUAUCUUAAGCAUGAAACUGAUGAAUUAUGACAGACGUGUACACCUAUGUAACCACAAGCCCAAUAAAGGUAUGGAAUACUUCUACAAUC